AGCGAACGCUGGCGGCAGGCCUAACACAUGCAAGUCGAACGAAGUCUUCGGACUUAGUGGCGGACGGGUGAGUAACACGUGGGAACGUGCCUUUAGGUUCGGAAUAACUCAGGGAAACUUGUGCUAAUACCGAAUGUGCCCUUCGGGGGAAAGAUUUAUCGCCUUUAGAGCGGCCCGCGUCUGAUUAGCUAGUUGGUGAGGUAAAGGCUCACCAAGGCUACGAUCAGUAGCUGGUCUGAGAGGAUGACCAGCCACAUUGGGACUGAGACACGGCCCAAACUCCUACGGGAGGCAGCAGUGGGGAAUCUUGCGCAAUGGGCGAAAGCCUGACGCAGCCAUGCCGCGUGGAUGAUGAAGGUCUUAGGAUUGUAAAAUCCUUUCACCGGUGAAGAUAAUGACGGUACCUGAAGAACAAGCCACGGCUAACUACGUGCCAGCAGCCGCCGUAAUAC
rnacentral:rRNA from 1 species